GACGAAGGGGGCUAGCGUUGUUCGGAAUUACUGGGCGUAAAGCGCGUGUAGGCGGUUGCCAAAGUCGGGUGUGAAAGCCUUGAGCUCAACUCAAGAAUUGCACUCGAUACUUGGUGACUAGAGGACCGGAGAGGAUAGUGGAAUUCCCAGUGUAGUGGUGAAAUACGUAGAGAUUGGGAAGAACACCGAUGGCGAAGGCAGUUCUCUGGGACGGUACUGACGCUGAGACGCGAAAGCGUGGGGAGCGAACAGG
rnacentral:rRNA from 1 species